GUAGGAGGCAAGCGUUAUCCGGAAUGACUGGGCGUAAAGGGUGCGUAGGUGGUUUGACAAGUUGGUAGCGUAACUCCGGGGCUCAACCUCGGAUCUACUACCAAAACUGUUGGGCUUGAGUGCAGGAGGGGUGAAUGGAAUUCCUAGUGUAGCGGUGGAAUGCGUAGAUAUUAGGAGGAACACCAGCGGCGAAGGCGAUUCACUGGACUGUAACUGACACUGAGGCACGAAAGCGUGGGGAGCAAA
rnacentral:rRNA from 1 species